AAUUCUCAACCCUUAACUUCUUUUUGAAGCUCUGGGCUUGGACUGUGGAGGUUUGCCGGUGAAAAUCGGCUCCUCUGAAAUGCAUUAGCGGAACUGUUUGCGAUCUGCCACAAGUGUGAUAAUUAUCUACACUGGCUAGGGGGAUUGCUCUCAUGGAGUUCAGCUUCUAACGGUCUUCGGACAAACUUAAUGAAA
rnacentral:misc_RNA from 1 species